GUUAAUCAUUUUUUGUAGGAUGGCGCUACCCCACCUGCUGGAGCACUACUACGAGGAGAACCAUCGAGGACGACGCAUUGCAGCGGGGGAGGUACUGCCCCUCCUUCGUCCUUGAACCCAUGACCGGUUCUUGGAGAUGCGGUACGACGAUAGGUACACCCCUCUAUUGCCGAGGGCUGGCCUGGACGUUGUAUCGUACCAGGUUCGCCGCGGGUUGCCUAAAAUCAACCCCACGGCGAUCACAGCUUUGGUUGACAGGCUGGAAACUCAUAGUUUCCACCUACCUUGUGGUGAGAUGACAGUGACACUUCAGGAUGCGCAGAAGAUCCUUGAUCUCAGCAUUAGAGGGCGUGCAGUCACCGGCACGUGUGUGUCUCGGGGUUGGAGGGGCUGAGUGGAGGCCUUCCUUGGGAGAGCUCUUCCCGAAGCGGCGCCGAAUUCCCGGACCUCGGGAGUACCUCUUUCCUGGCUCCGUGAGAACUUUGGCGAAUGUCCGGAGGAUGCUAACGCCGAGACUGUGAGCUUCUACUGCAGAGCUUGGAUCCUCCACUUGUUUGGCUCUAUUCUCUUUUCGGACAGCACUGGUGACACCGCUUCUUGGAUGUACCUCCCUUGCCUGACUGAUUGGGACACUGCGGGGGGGGGGG